rnacentral:tRNA from 1 species
UCUAAUAUGGCAGAUUAGUGCAACGGAUUUAAGCUCCGUAAAUGAAGCCUUACUUCUAUUAGAA